rnacentral:ribozyme from 1 species
AGAAGAAAAGAAAAGAAAAGAAAAAGAGAUUCUAUUUAAUUUUUUAUAUGCUGCUU